rnacentral:lncRNA from 1 species
CUGGUGGUCUUCUCUUGGUCCUUUGUCUCCUUCUCUUCAUGAAACAUUUGAAUUUUCUAAUGAUUAAGGCCAAAUCCUUAACUUUUUCGUUGUUUUCUGAUUUUUCAGUAUCUUCUUCUUUUUGAGUUGUCGACUUGAGAGCGAUAGUCUUCUUUUUUUUGAUCUCCUCCUCAGAGUGUUGCUUCAUGAUCAGCUCAUGAGUCAUGAGAGAUCCAAGUAGCUCCUUCAAUGGUAGAACAUUUAAAUCCUUGACUUUUUAGAUUGCAGUGACCUUUGCGUCCCACGAUCUUGGUAAAGAUCUGAGCACUUUUUUUUAUAAGAUUAUUGUUAGAAUAAUAUUUACCA